CGAGUGGUGGACGGGUGAGUAAUGUCUGGGAAACUGCCUGAUGAGGGGGAUAACUACUGGAAACGGUAGCUAAUACCGCAUAACGUCGCAAGACCAAAGAGGGGGACCUUCGGGCCUCUUGCCAUCGGAUGUGCCCAGAUGGGAUUAGCUAGUAGGUGGGGUAACGGCUCACCUAGGCGACGAUCCCUAGCUGGUCUGAGAGGAUGACCAGCCACACUGGAACUGAGACACGGUCCAGACUCCGUACGGGAGGCAGCAUG
rnacentral:rRNA from 1 species